rnacentral:rRNA from 1 species
GACGAACGCUGGCGGCGUGCCUAAUACAUGCAAGUAGAACGCUGAAGAGAGGAGCUUGCUCUUCUUGGAUGAGUUGCGAACGGGUGAGUAACGCGUAGGUAACCUGCCUUGUAGCGGGGGAUAACUAUUGGAAACGAUAGCUAAUACCGCAUAACAAUGGAUGACACAUGUCAUUUAUUUUAAAGGGGCAAUUGCUCCACUACAAGAUGGACCUGCGUUGUAUUAGCUAGUAGGUGAGGUAAUGGCUCACCUAGGCGACGAUACAUAGCCGACCUGAGAGGGUGGUCGGCCAACCUGGGACUGAGACACGGCCCAGACUGCUGCGGGAGGCAGCAGUAGGGAAGCUUCGGCAAUGGGGGCAACCCUGACCGAGCAACGCCGCGGGAGUGAAGAAGGUUGUCGGAUCGUGAAGCUCUGUUGUAAGUCAAGAACGGGUGUGAGGGUGGAAAGUUCACACUAUGACGGUAGCUAACGAGAAAGGGACGGCUAACUACGUG